CAGAGAGACCAGAGGAGCUCAACUGACUUGAUUUUACCUCCCCAUCUGGAGCUUUAGAGAAUUCCAAAACCAUAGGGUGAUUUGGGAACAGGUCCAAAGGGCAUGGCUGGGAACAACAAAAUGAAGAAAGCAGCAUUUCUACGAUGAAUAUCAGCAAUGUCCUGGCAUUCACGAAGACAAGAUGAUUGAGAAAACUUGCAAUUUGAACAAAUGUUUUAAUUGCAGUCUUCAUUUAUCAAGCUGUUGAAAAACCAAGAAAAAAUAAAGAAAAGAUGAUUUACCUCCAAGUUCAGAAACUAGACAUUCCAUUGAACUAAGAAGAGAGACCGUUGCUGCUGUCAUGACCUAGCUUUGAUGGCAGCAAGACCAAAAGUAGAAAUCCCUGCACUCAUCACAAAGCCCAUACAACUCAACCAAACUUACCCCUGAGCCCUAUCAACCUAGGUCUACAGCCAGUGGAGUCUAUUGUACACUGUGGAAAAAUACCCAUGGGACCAGAUCCUGCCAAAUUCUUCCAGCUCACUUUAUUCUCAGCAUUCCUAGGACAUUGGACAUUGGUUUUCUGGAGGGUUUUUUUUCCAUCUUUGUAUUUUUUUAAAUUUGAUUCUUUUCUUUGCAAUGCUAUCUAACCAGAAUACAUAGGGGAACUGUGGGCUAGGCAAACAAAAUAGAAAAAAGUGUGAAAAACAGUAAAGUUGGGAGAGGAGCAUCUAUUUUCUUAAAGAAAUAAAACAC
rnacentral:lncRNA from 1 species